UACGUAGGGGGCAAGCGUUGUCCGGAAUCAUUGGGCGUAAAGAGCGUGUAGGCGGUCCGGUAAGUCGGUUGUGAAAGUCCAGGGCUCAACCCUGGGAUGCCGACCGAUACUGUCGGACUAGAGUUCGGAAGAGGCGAGUGGAAUUCCCGGUGUAGCGGUGAAAUGCGCAGAUAUCGGGAGGAACACCUAUGGCGAAGGCAGCUCGCUGGGACGUUACUGACGCUGAGACGCGAAAGCGUGGGGAGCGAACAGG
rnacentral:rRNA from 1 species